UGUCCAUUCCUCUUUGUUUAGGUUUUGAUUAUCCACAACAGUGUUACUGAAAAGCUGUAAUUUCAUCCACGUCUUAGUCUUCUGACCUUUAUAAAACUGUGUUUUCUGAUGUGUGCAGGGACACAGAGGCCGUAGGACACUGCCCUGGCAUUGCGUGGUGUGCCCACACCCCUGGCUGAGAUGGUGAAUAGGUGAACAAGCUGGGGUUCUGCAAGCAGUUCUGUGGCCCAGAAGAAUUCUUGGAAGCUAGGGCAGGAGAAAACAAACACCAGUGCUGAUGAAGCUGACAAAUUCAAGUCCGUUCUUCAAAAGAGCAUUUUUCACUGGCAAUGUAAUUUUAGUCUGGAGUGCAGCAAUAAUUGAGUUCCUGGGACUGAUUUGAUACAGGGUGAGCAGCAAGAAGAAAAUCCAGCUCUUGCAUAACAAUACUGGGGCAGUUUGGGGUCUGGUUUGAUUUUGCUGUGAGGGUGUUGUGAACUGUAAGUUGUAUGAAACUCCAUGUUACGUGUUGAACAGCACAUUAAACCUAAUUACC